rnacentral:rRNA from 1 species
UUGUGAGGUUAAGCGACUAAGCGUACACGGUGGAUGCCCUGGCAGUCAGAGGCGAUGAAGGACGUGCUAAUCUGCGAUAAGCGUCGGUGAGGUGAUAUGAACCGUUAUAACCGGCGAUUUCCGAAUGGGGAAACCCAGUGUGUUUCGACACACUAUCAUUAACUGAAUCCAUAGGUUAAUGAGGCGAACCGGGGGAACUGAAACAUCUAAGUACCCCGAGGAAAAGAAAUCAACCGAGAUUCCCCCAGUAGCGGCGAGCGAACGGGGAGGAGCCCAGAGCCUGAAUCAGUGUGUGUGUUAGUGGAAGCGUCUGGAAAGGCGCGCGAUACAGGGUGACAGCCCCGUACACAAAAAUGCACACAUUGUGAGCUCGAUGAGUAGGGCGGGACACGUGGUAUCCUGUCUGAAUAUGGGGGGACCAUCCUCCAAGGCUAAAUACUCCUGACUGACCGAUAGUGAACCAGUACCGUGAGGGAAAGGCGAAAAGAACCCCGGCGAGGGGAGUGAAAAAGAACCUGAAACCGUGUACGUACAAGCAGUGGGAGCCUCUUAAUGGGGUGACUGCGUACCUUUUGUAUAAUGGGUCAGCGACUUAUAUUCUGUAGCAAGGUUAACCGAAUAGGGGAGCCGAAGGGAAACCGAGUCUUAACUGGGCGUUAAGUUGCAGGGUAUAGACCCGAAACCCGGUGAUCUAGCCAUGGGCAGGUUGAAGGUUGGGUAACACUAACUGGAGGACCGAACCGACUAAUGUUGAAAAAUUAGCGGAUGACUUGUGGCUGGGGGUGAAAGGCCAAUCAAACCGGGAGAUAGCUGGUUCUCCCCGAAAGCUAUUUAGGUAGCGCCUCGUGAAUUCAUCUCCGGGGGUAGAGCACUGUUUCGGCAAGGGGGUCAUCCCGACUUACCAACCCGAUGCAAACUGCGAAUACCGGAGAAUGUUAUCACGGGAGACACACGGCGGGUGCUAACGUCCGUCGUGAAGAGGGAAACAACCCAGACCGCCAGCUAAGGUCCCAAAGUCAUGGUUAAGUGGGAAACGAUGUGGGAAGGCCCAGACAGCCAGGAUGUUGGCUUAGAAGCAGCCAUCAUUUAAAGAAAGCGUAAUAGCUCACUGGUCGAGUCGGCCUGCGCGGAAGAUGUAACGGGGCUAAACCAUGCACCGAAGCUGCGGCAGCGACACUAUGUGUUGUUGGGUAGGGGAGCGUUCUGUAAGCCUGUGAAGGUGGCCUGUGAGGG